UUUGGUGGUGAUGCGAUUUUGGGAAACACCCGUUUCCAUAUCGAACACGAAGGUUAAGCCAAAGUCGGCCGAUGGUACUUGCUUGGAG
rnacentral:rRNA from 1 species